CUGGCGUUGGUUGUGGUUAGUGGUUUUGUGCGAUUUGCGAUUUCUCGAUUGAUUUACGGUUAUUGAUUCACGGUUUUUGACACUUUUUUCGGACUUCGACUACGGCUUUGGAUUUGCGAUUUCACUUUGACACUCGGAUACGGUUUUGGAUUUCCCGGUAACGACCCUUUUCUUCUGACUUCGACUGACGGCUUUGGACACCCCUUGGAUUUGGUUGCUUAGCAAAACCCCCAUAAUGGGAGUUUUAUCCCUGUGUGAGGAAGCACCGAGCAAGGUGUUCGGUGUUCCCUUGUCACAUCUGAGGAAGACCGGACAGAUGAGACAGGGGCUUCCUCUGGCCUUCACACACCUAGUACGCUUCCUCGAGAAGCAUGCUCAAAGCCACUAAAAAUUGGGCGACUUGGGCGUCUGAGAAGACAAUUUUUGCAUUUUUGGCAAAAAUUUGGCUCCUGCAAUGGCAGGCGCAAAGUGGAA
rnacentral:lncRNA from 1 species